rnacentral:lncRNA from 1 species
AAAAAAAGAGAGGGCUACAGCAAAAGAACUGUUUACCUUGAAUUUCUCAUAGAUGAGAUUGAUGAUUUCUUCAGUUUGAUUUCCAGUAUGUGCUAGAUUUUGAGUAAUUUCUGAUCAAUUGUUUUCAAGAAAAUUGAUAUUUUUAGGGUUGUAUUUGAUGAUUAUGGAGUUUUAAUAAACUAUUGUGUGACGUGUCAAAAUAGUUUAACAAAUACAUCUUCUGUUUAAAGACAGUCUUUCCAAGCCUAAGUUCAUUUCACAUUAAAAUGUAGACAGUAAGAUGGGGGUAUGACUAAUGUGCAAAGUAAAUUUAUUAUUCCCAGUUGUGUGAGCCACUGCACCCAGCCCAGACAUCUGGUUUGACCUACUUUCUUUCUCUAUUUUUUUUUUUGAGACAGAGUUUCGCCCUUGUUGCCCAGGCUGGAGUGCAGUACACAGUCUUGACUCACUGCAACCUCUGCCUCCCGGGUUCAAGCGAUUCUCCUGCCUCAGUCUCCUGAGUAGCUGGAAUUUCAGGCAUGCGCCACCAC